UCUGCGUCUCAGUCAGGAAAAAGAGGGC
rnacentral:sRNA from 1 species